CCUAAAGCCUUCUGUAGGGUGUGGUCAGUCACACAUCCCUUCUCUCUUGUCUAUUAAAGAUUUUCCAGGAGAUGAAAUGAGAUGUCUCCCUGGGUCUUAAGUCUGCCUUCUAACCCAGCAGGGAGGGUUUGCUCCCUCCCUCCCAGUUCUUGGGCCUGGUCCCACAACCCAACCCCCCACCAAGGCCCCUCCUUUACAUCUGAAGGAGUUAGGGGAUGGAGGCCAACGUUGGCUCUGCAAACACCACCUCCACAGGCCCAAAUACUGCAGGUCACGAGAGGCACUGAUGGCAGCUCCUUCUGUGACGGGCUCAGGAACACCUGGUUGCUGCUCUCCAUGAGCUGUUCCAACUGUGAAGCAAAAGCUUCAUGCAUAAAGGCAUCCCAACGCAGUCAAUGACGCACAGGAGAAAGAGGACAGAGAUAAGCUUCUUGCCUGUUCCAGACACUGAGGAUCAGGCAGAGAGAGAGGCUCCUGCCAGGCUGAGCUUUUCCGGAGUGUGGAUAUGAACAGCCGUCUUGGGUCCUGAGGUGGAAGCCAUGUGUGGAAGAUGGAGGGCAUCGGUUAGAAGGAGUCUAGUCCCUGAUGGUCACUGAGCUGCAGAACCAGCCUGGGCUGCUUCCUGCUGGAUGUCACUUACUAGAGAGCGAAAUUAAAUGUGCUUCAGCUACUGUUACUUUGGGUUUUCUGUCAUUUGUAGCUGAAAUAAUCCUAAUCAAUAUGAGAUAUAUUAAGUAAACAAAAAUGCAAAUGAAAACGAUUAUGAAUUGUAUGAUUCCAAUUUUAUCUUCUUUUAUGUGAUUUAAGUCUUUAACUUUUAACCCAGAUGAUUUUAUUUUAAAAUGUGUGUUUAUAUACAUCCAUAUGUACAUAGAAAAAAGACAGGAAUGUUGAAAGCUAAAGUAUUAGUAGAGAUUAUUUCAGGAUGGUAGGUUAUAAGGAUUUCAUGUGCUUAUUUAUUUACCUUUUGUUUGUUCAUCUGUAUUUGCUAAUUUUUCUAUUUUUUUAUUUUUAUUUUUUGAGACAGGAUCUCACUUUGUCACUCAGGCUGGAGUACAGUGGCACAAUCAUGGCUCACCACAGCCUUGACCUCCUGGGCUCAGGUGAUCCUCCCACCUCAGCCUCCUGAAUAGCUAGGACUUGGUACCUGCCACCACGCCUGGAUAAUUUUUGUAUUUCUUGUUGAGACAGGGUUUCGUCAUGUUGUCCAGGCUGAUCUCGAACUCCUGCGCUCAAACAAUCCACUGCCUCAGUCUCCCAAAGUGCUAGGAUUACAGGCGUGGACCACCAUGCCCGGCCUCUAAUUUUUCUUCAACAAAACUGUAUUACUUUUUAAAUAAGAAAAAAUAAUAAAAGGUAUAAAGUGUAUGACUUAAUGAGAUCCAUAUGUAUUGCAGUAAUAAAAAAAACCUGAAGCCAAGGCGGGUGGAUCAUUUGAGGUCAGGAGUUCGAGACCAGCCUGGACAACAUGGUGAAACCUCGUUUCUACUAAAAAUACAAAAAUUAGCCAGGAGUGGUGGUAUGUGCCCGUGAUCCCAGAUACCUGGGAGGCUGAGGCAGGAGAAUUGCUUGAAACCAGGAGGUGGAGGUUACAGUGAGCCAAGAAUCCACCACUGCACUCCAGCCUGGGCGACAGAGCGAGACUGUGUCUCAAAAACAAAAAAACAAAACAAAACAAAAAAAACCUUAUUCUCAGAAUGAAGAUCUGAAAUAAGAAACAAACAAACAAACAAAAAAUAUUUUAAAAAGGAAAUAGAAAACAAAUAACUUAUUCAUGAUUCCAUGGGAAAAAAGACUGAAAAUAAGUGUUCUAAAGUAAAUAAGGGCAUGAGAAAUUGUUCAAAAUAUAGUGUUAAAGAGAAAAAAGGUUAUUCAACAAUAUGAUGCCAUUGUUUUUGAUAAAAAGAAUUAAACAACAUAAAUGUAUGCUAGAAAAAGAACUAGAAGGAAAUAAGCUGAUAUAUUGGUGGUCUGGUUCCAGAGGAGAGAUUUUAGUGAUUCUUAUUUUCCCCUUUAUACUUUUGGUAUUUUCUAAAUAUUUCUCUAAUAAACCUGUGCUAAUCUUAUUUAUUUCAAAAUGUUUCUACUUAGAGAAAUUUUAACAAGACAGAAAAGCAUGUUAUAAAGAAUAAUAAAAACACACACACAUCGCCACUGCUCAAAAUUAAAAUGAUUAAUUUUUGUUAUAUUUAAUUCCUGUCUUUAUUUUAAAGAAAUAAACAGUAACAGUAAAGUCCCA
rnacentral:lncRNA from 10 species